GACGAACGCUGGCGGCGUGCUUAACACAUGCAAGUCGAACGGUGAAGCGCCUUCCUUUUUGGUGGGUGUGGAUGAGUGGCGAACGGGUGAGUAACACGUGAGUAACCUGCCCCCUUCUUCUGGAUAACCGCAUGAAAGUGUGGCUAAUACGGGAUAUUCUGGGUCUGUCGCAUGAUGGGUCUGGGAAAGAUAUUGUUUCGGUGGGGGAUGGGCUCGCGGCCUAUCAGCUUGUUGGUGGGGUGAUGGCCUACCAAGGCGGUGACGGGUAGCCGGCCUGAGAGGGUGGACGGUCACACGGGGACUGAGACACGGCCCAGACUCCUACGGGAGGCAGCAGUGGGGAAUAUUGCACAAUGGGCGCAAGCCUGAUGCAGCGACGCCGCGUGAGGGAUGGAGGCCUUCGGGUUGUGAACCUCUUUCGCCAGUGAAGCAGGCCUGCCCCGUUUGUGGGUGGGUUGACGGUAGCUGGAUAAGAAGCGCCGGCUAACUACGUG
rnacentral:rRNA from 1 species